GACCUGCUGGUUCAAGGUGGAUGGUGAUGAUAAUGAUAGCCGGUAGAACUUGAUAGUUUUAACCUCAAGGCUGUGGGUUCAAGCCCCAUGCUGGGCA